rnacentral:rRNA from 1 species
AGUCGGUGAGGUAAUGGCUCACCAAAGCGACGAUCAGUAGCCGACCUGAGAGGGUGAUCGGCCACAUUGGAACUGAGACACGGUCCAAACUCCUGCGGGAGGCAGCAGUGGGGGAUAUUGCACAAUGGGCGGAAGCCUGAUGCAGCAACGCCGCGUGAGCGAAGAAGGUCUUCGGAUCGUAAAGCUCUGUCCUGGGGGAAGAAACAAAUGACGGUACCCCGGGAGGAAGCCCCGGCUAACUACGUGCCAGCAGCCGCGGUAAUACGUAGGGGGCGAGCGUUAUCCGGAAUUAUUGGGCGUAAAGAGUACGUAGGUGGUUUGGAAAGCGUGUGGUGAAAUUGCGGGGCUUAACCCCGUCCAGCCAUGCGAACUUUCAGACUUGAGUGCAGGAGAGGGAAGUGGAAUUCCUAGUGUAGCGGUGAAAUGCGUAGAUAUUAGGAGGAACAUCAGUGGCGAAGGCGACUUCCUGGACUGUAACUGACACUGAGGUACGAAAGCGUGGGUAGCAAACAGGAUUAGAUACCCUGGUAGUCCACGCCGUAAACGAUGAGCACUAGGUGUCGGGGUCGCAAGACUUCGGUGCCGCAGUUAACG